UUAGAACUUCCAAGACACAAGGAUUUUAUUCAUAUAUCCACCACAACUUUUACAACCUAUCUAUCAAUUACCAAACAAUUUCCUAGCCCAAUUCAAAAACAUCAUCUGCAAGAAAAAAAAAAGGAAAGAGAAAGCAAAGAAGAGAAAAAAAGGGGAUAUGUGGCGUGUGUGGGUGUGUGAAGCUGCUACAGCUACAGCCACACCUCUCCACCAAUUCCCUUCUCCCUACACCCUACCACCUAUUCCUUAGCAUGCUCCAGCAGCCCCAACUCCUCCAAUCACCUCCACUCUACCCCUCUUCCUAUUAUCUAGGAUACUCAAGAGUGCAGCCAACACCCUCCCUGAUAUCUGCAACAAUCUCUUCAUCAUCUUCAUUCUUCACUAAGGAACCAAAGAGCAGGAAGAAAUUCUACAUUCGCUGCUCUGCCAUCAAACCUCAAGAGGUAAGCUUCGGUCCAUAUCCCCCAAUUUCUUCCACAUUCCACCUGCAUUAAUACAAGAACAGCAAUCUUGAAUUAUUUCAGAGCUAUUCCAGUUCAGCAAUCUUGAAUUAUUUCAGAGCUAUUCCAGUUCAUCUAGUACCUCAACAACAGCCAACCAAACAUUAAGGUAUUCAUCACCUCACUUACUUCAAGCUUAUGUUACAUGCUCAAAACCAACAACACAUUUCAGUUAAUUUCCAUAAGAAUGCAGAAUACAGAGUAGAGUAACACAACCACAUUAUAUCACCAUAUAUCAAUAUUCCAUCCUAUGUUCAGAUUAUAAAGAACAUGAGUUCAUAUUCAUGAGUUCAUAUUGCCACUACCAUAAGAACCUCACCACACAGCAAUAUCUAUGGAAUUUCACAUUAGAGGUAUAAGAACUUAGCUUUUAGAGAGGGCGGGGGGGGGGGCGACUGCCCUGUUUGAUCGGGCCGAAGGACGUCGAGUGGGCGGCGACUCGCGGGGACAGCAGCGUCGACGGCGUCGAGCGGUGAAAGGAUGACGACUACCGAGGAGCAUGGGUUUCUUCUCUGUUUCUUUUCACUCGACCCUGAAAGAAAGGUAGCGAGGUGAGGAGGGAGCAGCCGAGGAUCAGCGCCCUCGGCGGCCUGACGACCAGUGGCUGCCGCCGCGAGUGCAGCGGCACGGCGAAGCCGGCCUUCUAGUAGCAGCAGCGGCGUCGGGGCUCGGGGAAUCGACGGAGGCGGCGAACUUUCACCUGCUCACUGGAGAAACGCAACGGCUGCGGCAAGAUUGAGAGUGGGCUGAGAGGACCAGGGCUCGACCUCUGCCUCGGGUGUGUGUGUGCGUGUUCCCGGAGCUUCCAGAAGGGAGAAGAGAUGAGGAAUGGCGCCGGGCUCAGACUCUACACCGGCGUCGCCGAUUUGGGAGGAGGAACGAUCGCCGUUCACCGGAAAUUCAAGGACGGCGGCGGCGAUUUCUAAUUUGGGAGAGCUAGGGCUCGAUUCGGAAGGGGGAGAAUUAGGGCCCAAUUUUUGGGCGGCCUCCCCUAAAUCUCUCAGAGACAGCAGCAGGAGCUCGUGCCGACGACGAGAAGGCGCCGGAGCCGGCUGGAGGCUGAGCGAGAGGAGGGGAGAGAGAGAGAGGCGUUCUGAUUUUUGAGAGGGAGGAGUUUCGAGAGGAGAGAGUGAGAUGGACGAGAGGCGCCGCCCUCGGCCAGGCGCGGCCGCGCCGGAGUCGCGGCGGCGGACGCCUCGUCUGAAGGCGAGGAGAGUGAGAGGGAGAAGGAGGCGUGCGUCUGUUUGAGAAGAGGGAGAGACCGAGUGGGAGAGAUAAGGAAGGGUUGGGCCAUUCCUUGGGCCUCUACCUUUUAAAAGAUUGGGCUUGUGUUUAAAUGGUUCUGGACCAUUAAUUAUUUUGGGCCAUUGUAUCUUUCCUUGGGCUGCUAAUUAUUUUACUUGGGCCUAGAAUUAAUUAUUUCUGUUGGGCUGCUAAUAUCUUAUUUGGACCCUGAUUUAUUUAAUUAUUUAGCCCAAUAAUCUCAUCUCAGUUGGGCCUUGUAAUAAUUAUUCAGCCCAAAUUUUAUUAUUUUACUUGGGCUCCAGAUUUAUAUAUAUAUAUGAAUGGUAAUUAUUUAUUUUAAUUCAACCCCACUCUUAAUUAAUUAUUAGGCUCUAUUAUGUUGAGCCUUUUAAUUAUCUGACUUAUAUUACUAUUACUUCAAUUCAUAUUUGUUUAGCCGAGUUAAUUAGACGCAGCUGCCCAAUUACGAUUAAAUUCUUACGAGAUUAUUAAGCGAAUAAUUCGAUUGAGCUAUUUCCUUUUAAUCGAUUACAGAGCGAGACCUAUUAUAAUUAUCAAGUGGGAUAGAACACUCUAGAUAAGCGGAUUCAUUAUAGUUAUUAUUCGACCUCAUGCGACGAGCCUUAUUUAAGUUAUUUAAUUUAUUUAAUCCGAGAGUUAGGAUUAAUAGUAGAUUUCCCGGACUAUUAAGCAAGAAUAAUAAAUCAUGCAUAAGAGAGUCAUGCAUAUUUAUUUUCGCAUUCUCAUUAUUUGAGAAUUCUGCUCGAGCAAAUUUCUUAUUUAAAGUUCUCGCAAUAAAGGUCAAGCGGGAGAGUAAUACCUAGAUUGGAGCUACUGCACCACAACAAGAGUUGCUAUCAGGUGGGCUUACUUUCCAAAUGUAUGAUUGAGUUAUUAAGCUCUAAAUAUUUCAUGAAAUGAAAACUGUUUAUCCAAUAAAUGUUUUUGUGCGCUCUGUUAUGUUUAAGGCUCGCAAUUCAUGGAUCGAUCGAGGUUCUCUUAUGGCCUAACACGUUAUUUGAGAAUUGUGUACACUUGUUAGUUGUUUCGGUGGGUUGAUCUCCAUCGGGCACUAAUUCAUGCAAGAGGCGUUAUAAGGGUGCUUGGCUGGAUGUGUUUCGGAGCAUGUAUCAUGUAAGGCCUGCCUGGGUAGCGUCCCGAGGUCAAUUCAACUUGUCUGAGUUACGUCCUCAGGGCAAGUGUCAUGGGAAUGAGGGAUCCGUCGGUGGCUAAAAGGUCCGGGAUCACAGCGAGUAACAGAACAGAGUGUGACAACAGCGCGCUAAUAAAAUAAAAUGUUUACAUGCUUAGAAGUUCUUUACUUUAAAACCUUCUAAGUUAUGUCUGAAUGAUUGGAUAACUGCUCUUACGAAUUAUGAAAUGUUUAUAAAAUUGCUAGCCCACUAAGUACAUUAGUACUUAGCCCAAAUAUUUUCAAAUGUUUUUCAGGUUGAUGGCUGGUGUGAGGGGAGAGCUGAGGCUAGGGUUCAACUCCGUUUUUGACUUCCGCUGUUGUGCUAGCCUUUAUCUGUCUUUCACUUUCUUGACUUAAGACCUUUAUGUUAUGACUCUAAACGAUAUCUUUUGUUGAGCCUAGACUUUUGACUUUCAAGUAUUUUGAUUAAGGGAUGUUGGUUAUCUGAAGCAUGAAACUAAACUUAUGUGAUCCUGAGUUUGAAUAUUGUCAUUUGAUUGGCAACUCUUAAGGCCUUUCAAUUUACCACCUUUCAUUUUAUCUCCUUGGAAUAUGAAUACCCAAUUUAAUGGGUAGAUUGUCAAGUUUAUUCUGGUUGAUUAAGACUUUCCAUUAUUUUUCCUUUUUCCUCCUUCACUUGGGAAGUCGGGCUGUUACAAGUGGUAUCAGAGCAUAAGUUUUCUUUCAUGUCUCUGAUAACCGUAAGCUUCUAACAUCGAGUCUAGAUUGGUAUCUCUAGACUUCUAAGAAAAAUUUGUUGACCCUCAACUCGCCGUCACACUGCCGCAACAAAAAGGUACGAUUUAAAAGUUUCAAUGAUUUUAGAUGCUUUCAAGUUUUCAAGAAGUGCGCGCUUUCACUGAAUGAUGUUACAUGAAUUGCUUGUCGCUUUCAUAUUGUUAUUUUGAGUCUCUGACUCAUAUAACCAAUGUAUGUAUGUCAUGUUUGGGACUACCCAAGCCCUUAACGAAUCAAUGAAUUUAAGAUCGAGUUAGAUUUCCUAAAUCUUUCCGACUUGAGAAAAGUUUUCAUGAAAGGGACAUGCACUGUCCAAAUGUUUUAAGGUUUCAAAAAAACAAAUGAUAAAUGAAUGAAAAGUUUUAUGUUAUCUUUUAGGUCACUGCCUUGUACGAUAUGAAUGAUGAGCCUCUUACAAACCGUUUGAGUCUACCCAAGAUACUUUAGAAAGUUAGUCGUGAAAGCUCCGCUUGAUCGGUUAAGUAAGGAAUGAUAAGAUAGCACGUUUAACAUAGAUAUGUUACAACGUAGAAGAAAUUCAUGAGAUUAAGGUUCACUUAAGUUAUUCACUUAAGUUAAGAUUAGUUUCCACAUAGAACUAGUCUUUCACAUGGUUACACCAUAGAAGCGAUAUAUCUUGUACAUAUCUAGGUAUGUAUGUAUGUAGAAUGAGUCUCACUGUUGUGUUAAUAUCGUUCGUAAACCAGAAUGGAAGACGCACAAGAGGACGCGGUAGGGGACGAGGACGUGGUCGUGGUCGCGGACGCGGCAGGGGAUUCAUCCCUGAAGAGCCAAUCCAACAAGUAGCACCAAAUCGUACUGCUGAAGAGAAGUUUCGUAAGGAAAAACCUCCAACGUUUGACGGGCUGGGCGAUCCAACAGAGCCGAAAAAUGGAUUAGGGCCAUAGAGCGUAUCUUUAACUACAUCCGUUGCGAUGACGAAGACAAAGUAACUUGUGCACCUACCAACUGGUGGACGAAGCCGACUUCUGGUGGGAAUCAGUGAGACGCACAAUGACUGAUGAACAGUGGGAAAACUUCACUUGGGAAGAUUUUAAGACUGUGUUGUAUGAGAAGUACAUACCAGGAUGCUAUAGACAGAAGAAGCAAAAUGAGUUCUGGAAUCUGAAACAGAAAGCUGGACAGUUACGGAGUACGAUAGAACCAAGGUCCUGGAGGAUACCAAGGACAACCACGAAAUGCUAGGGCCUAUGCCCUUAACCAGCACCAAGCAGCAGGAGAUCAGGAAAACCUAGCAGGCACGAUUAAUGUUUUCGACGUGNNNNNNNNNNNNNNNNNNNNNNNNNNNNNNNNNNNNNNNNNNNNNNNNNNNNNNNNNNNNNNNNNNNNNNNNNNNNNNNNNNNNNNNNNNNNNNNNNNNNNNNNNNNNNNNNNNNNNNNNNNNNNNNNNNNNNNNNNNNNNNNNNNNNNNNNNNNNNNNNNNNNNNNNNNNNNNNNNNNNNNNNNNNNNNNNNNNNNNNNNNNNNNNNNNNNNNNNNNNNNNNNNNNNNNNNNNNNNNNNNNNNNNNNNNNNNNNNNNNNNNNNNNNNNNNNNNNNNNNNNNNNNNNNNNNNNNNNNNNNNNNNNNNNNNNNNNNNNNNNNNNNNNNNNNNNNNNNNNNNUGAUGGCCAUCUUCGGAUCAUCCCCCUCGAUCGGAUUCUCCAAACGAGACAAGUGGUCGGCUACCACAUUCUCACACCCCUUUUGAUCACGAAUCUCCAUAUCAAAUUCUUGAAGCAACAAGAUCCAUCGAAUCAAGCGGGGCUUGGAGUCCUUCUUUGUGAACAAGUAGCGGAUGGCGGCAUGAUCAGUGUAGACAAUUGAAUGAGUUCCAAUCAAAUAAGAACGGAACUUAUCAAAAGCAUACACCACAGCUAGCAGCUCCUUCUCCGUGGUUGUGUAAUUCCUCUGAGCAGAAUCCAAAGUUUUACUAGUGUAGUAAAUUACCUUGAAUAAAUUAUCUCUCUUUUGCCCCAACACAGCUCCCACGGCCCAAUCUGUAAUAACCCGCUCUUUUAAUUUAUUAAAACCAGUAAUGCAAUAAUUAGUUAUUGCGUCUUUCAGAAAUUAUCUAUGUUUUGACUUGAUUUCAACUUAUGUUUUUGAAUUGAAAUAUAUAUAUAUAUAUAUAUAUAUAUAUAUAUAUAUAUAUAUAUAUAUAUAUAUAUAUAUAUAUAUAUAUCAUUGGAAGUAGAGUUAUAUUUUUUUUUAUGUAUGUUAGCUUCGCGUGAGAAAGAUAAGGAUUAUUGAGACAAUCAAUAAUCUUUAUUUUAGAUUUAUAACCAACUUAGUAAAGUCAAGUUAUUUAUUAGAAAUGUUAUUUCUAUUAUUAUUUUUAAUUACUUUUAUUAUUUUACUUAAGUCGUGGAUUAUUUCCGACUUGUGAAGUUAAUUAAAUCUACGGAUUUAAUUUAGAUUUACUUUACAGUCCAUCGAUACUAACAAGCGAGUAAUUAGAUAUCGAGUAGAUGCAUAAACACGGGUACAUAUUACGGGUACAUAUUACGGACUUAGAACUUCCAAGACACAAGGAUUUUAUUCAUAUAUCCACCACAACUUUUACAACCUAUCUAUCAAUUACCAAACAAUUUCCUAGCCCAAUUCAAAAAACAUCAUCUGCAAGAAAAAAAAAGGAAAGAGAAAGCAAAGAAGACAAAAAAAAAGGGGAUAUGUGGUGUGUGUGGGUGUGUGAAGCUGCUACAGCUACAGCCACACCUCUCCACCAAUUCCCUUCUCCCUACACCCUACCACCUAUUCCUUAGCAUGCUCCAGCAGCCCCAACUCCUCCAAUCACCUCCACUCUACCCCUCUUCCUAUUAUCUAGGAUACUCAAGAGUGCAGCCAACACCCUCCCUGAUAUCUGCAACAAUCUCUUCAUCAUCUUCAUUCUUCACUAAGGAACCAAAGAGCAGGAAGAAAUUCUACAUUCGCUGCUCUGCCAUCAAACCUCAAGAGGUAAGCUUCGGUCCAUAUCCCCCAAUUUCUUCCACAUUCCACCUGCAUUAAUACAAGAACAGCAAUCUUGAAUUAUUUCAGAGCUAUUCCAGUUCAUCUAGUACCUCAACAACAGCCAACCAAACAUUAAGGUAUUCAUCACCUCACUUACUUCAAGCUUAUGUUACAUGCUCAAAACCAACAACACAUUUCAGUUAAUUUCCAUAAGAAUGCAGAAUACAGAGUAGAGUAACACAACCACAUUAUAUCACCAUAUAUCAAUAUUCCAUCCUAUGUUCAGAUUAUAAAGAACAUGAGUUCAUAUUCAUGAGUUCAUAUUGCCACUACCAAAAGAACCUCACCACACAACAAUAUCUAUGGAAUUUCACAUUAGAGAUAUAAGAACUUAGCUUUUAGAGAGGGCGGGGGGGGCUACUGCCCUGUUUGAUCGGGCCGAAGGACGUCGAGUGGGCGGCGACUCGCGGGGACAGCAGCGUCGACGGCGUCGAGCGGUGAAA
rnacentral:lncRNA from 1 species